rnacentral:lncRNA from 1 species
AUAUUUUUAAAUCUACAGAACUAGAUAAUUCUCCGUCAAGACUACUACUUGUCUGUGGAGCUCUCUACUAGGGAAGUUCCUGAAGUCUGAAAAAAAUCAGUCCUGUCCCAGCAGUAACAAAUGAGUACAGGUUUGUGGAGCAAGCAACUGUUCAUUUGUUUUGUCAGUAAUGGAAAGAAGACUUGAACAGCUGAUGACAGACUCAUCCAUGCAGUUCUUCUAUGCCUAAGUGAAUACAAAUUAACAACAACAAAAUUGUUCAAGAACAUUUGGUCUUUGGAAGAAAAGCACUUGUCACAUAAUCCUGUGGUUACUGAAAGAACAGGAGGGAUUUUCACUGAUGUCAUUAGCAGUUGGAUCAAAUUCAAGCAUGGAUUUAGCCGAAUGGCGAGGGAAGAAAAGUGCUCUGGUGAUGGCUGGAUAUCUCACUGGGUGAGCCUGGACAUUUAUUAAUUAUACUGUGAAGAAGUUUGAAGAUGAAAAAGAGAGAUCAUUAUUAUCAAGGAUUAUUUAAACUAAAUUUUUGGGAGGUUGAAAUACAGUCCAGCUGAGAACUGCAUGCCGAAGCUUUGGAAAAAACAGUCAGUCAGUAGGUUUCUACCAGUAUGAUGUCAAAUUAAAAUUACACUUUGCAACAGUAAAUUCAGUGCUGAUAAAUCCCUGUGGAUUAAACAUAGGAAGCUGAAAGAAUUAACACCUAUUUUUUCUCAUCCAGAUCAUUUUCCUUCCUAUUAGGAUUUUAUUUUCAAAAAGCAACUUGAAAUCUGUAUCUGGAGAUGUAAACAACUACACAGGGAAAAAGUGAGUACUUAGCAGCAAGUGAAGUUUGUCCAAGGAUUACCAUAGUGAAUAAAACCAACUUCCCUUUUAAAAGCUGAGUGUAC